GUGCCAGCCGCCGCGGUAAUACGUAGGGUGCGAGCGUUAAUCGGAAUUACUGGGCGUAAAGCGUGCGCAGGCGGUUCGCUAAGACAGAUGUGAAAUCCCCGGGCUUAACCUGGGAACUGCGUUUGUGACUGGCGGGCUGGAGUGCGGCAGAGGGAGGUGGAAUUCCACGUGUAGCAGUGAAAUGCGUAGAGAUGUGGAGGAACACCGAUGGCGAAGGCAGCCUCCUGGGCUAGCACUGACGCUCAUGCACGAAAGCGUGGGGAGCAAACAGGAUUAGAAACCCUGGUAGUCC
rnacentral:rRNA from 1 species